GACGAACGCUGGCGGCGUGCCUAAUACAUGCAAGUAGAACGCUGAAGGAGGAGCUUGCUUCUCUGGAUGAGUUGCGAACGGGUGAGUAACGCGUAGGUAACCUGCCUGGUAGCGGGGGAUAACUAUUGGAAACGAUAGCUAAUACCGCAUAAGAGUAGAUGUCGCAUGACAUUUGCUUAAAAGGUGCAAUUGCAUCACUACCAGAUGGACCUGCGUUGUAUUAGCUAGUUGGUGAGGUAACGGCUCACCAAGGCAACGAUACAUAGCCGACCUGAGAGGGUGAUCGGCCACACUGGGACUGAGACACGGCCCAGACUCCUACGGGAGGCAGCAGUAGGGAAUCUUCGGCAAUGGACGGAAGUCUGACCGAGCAACGCCGCGUGAGUGAAGAAGGUUUUCGGAUCGUAAAGCUCUGUUGUAAGAGAAGAACGAGUGUGAGAGUGGAAAGUUCACACUGUGACGGUAUCUUACGAGAAAGGGACGGCUAACUACGUG
rnacentral:rRNA from 1 species